UUAAAAACGAACAGUAUAUUUUGGAAUAAGAUUCUAGUUAUUUUAAAUUUGUUAUUUUUUCAUUGUUGUUAUACUAUUAUUUUUGUUUAUACGUGAAUAAUUUAUAUGUAAUAAAAAUAUUUUUAAACUUAAUUUUUAUUAGAACUUUUGGACACUGUACUGGGUUUAAUAUAGUCUUAGAAACUCCAAUUAUCCAACAUGAUGUUCACUCUAUUGGCUAUUAUGUUAAAAAAAUAACUUAUAAGCAUAACAUGAAAACAUCCACUAUAAAAAAUUUACAAGCUAUCAAAACAAAAUAAUUUUAAAAGUUCAAUUUUAAUAUUUCUGUAGCCUAUUAAGAUUUAAUGCAAUAAGGUCAUCAAGAUGAUCACAAAAGCGGUAAGUUAGUAACUAGUAAAAAUUUUCACUAAAGUACAUUAUAACACCAUGAUUGGUAAGCAUUGUAUAUACAAAAAUGACAUUGAAUAGUUAAUGUCAACAAUUUUUUUUUUUUAUAUUAUUUACACAAUUUUUUUUUUUUUGGUAAUGAAUGUUCAUGAUUUUACAGCAUCUUUUUUAUUUGAGUCAU